rnacentral:pre_miRNA from 1 species
GGGGAGGAGGAAGCUGGCGGAACGCUGGAGAGGAGAGGGGGAAGCCUCCUCCCCUCUUUAGCGUUCCGUCUGCUUCCUCCUCCCCG